rnacentral:rRNA from 1 species
GAUGAACGCUGGCGGCGUGCCUAAUACAUGCAAGUCGAGCGAACGGACGAGAAGCUUGCUUCUCUGAUGUUAGCGGCGGACGGGUGUGUAACACGUGGAUAACCUACCUAUAAGACUGGGAUAACUUCGGGAAACCGUAGCUAAUACCGGAUAAUAUUUUGAACCGCAUGGUUCAAAAGUGAAAGACGGUCUUGCUGUCACUUAUAGAUGGAUCCGCGCUGCAUUAGCUAGUUGGGAAGGUAACGGCUUACCAAGGCAACGAUGCAUAGCCGACCUGAGAGGGUGAUCGGCCACCCUGGAACGGAGACGCGGUCCAGACUCCUACGGGAGGCAGCAGUAGGGAAUCUUCCGCAAUGGGCGAAAGCCUGACGGAGCAACGCCGCGUGAGUGAUGAAGGUCUUCGGAUCGUAAAACUCUGUUAUUAGGGAAGAACAUAUGUGUAAGUAACUGUGCACAUCUUGACGGUACCUAAUCAGAAAGCCACGGCUAACUACGUG